GGAUGUGAGGGCGAUCUGGCUGCGACAUCUGUCACCCCAUUGAUCGCCAGGGUUGAUUCGGCUGAUCUGGCUGGCUAGGCGGGUGUCCCCCUCCUCCCUCACCGAUCCAUGUGCGUCCCUCCCGAAGCUGCGCACUCGGUCAAAGAGGACGACCUUCCCCCCCCCCCCCGCCCCCCCGAGGAGAGGACCGGUCUUCGGUCAAGGGUAUACGAGUAGCUGCGCUCCCCUGCUAGAACCUCCAAACAAGCUCUCAAAGAGAGGAGGUGAGGCUGGUUGCAGGUGACAGUUUAUUGGUAUCUUAGAAUGAGAAGACAAAAGUGAAAGAAGAAGGAAAUAAAAGGGUACUG
ensembl:misc_RNA 7SK 7SK RNA